GGGGUUGUAGCUCAGUGGUAGAGAGCUUGUCUCAUAUAUAUGAGGCCCUGGGUUCAAUCCUCAGCACCACA
rnacentral:tRNA from 1 species